UUUUUUAUUUUAACUUUUACUGUGUGUAUGUGUAUAAGUAGGUGUGUUGAGGUGCCCACAAGAAGGGCAGAGGACAACUUGUGGGUUAGUUCUUCCACCAUGUGGGACUCUGGAAUUGAACUCAAGUCCUAGGGCUUGGUAGCAAGUACCCUUACCCAUUGAUCCCUAUCGCCGGCCCUCAUUCUUGGUUCUUGACCUUCUCUCCCAUCAUGCUCUAUACACAGUUCUGAACAGCCAUUCUCUUCUUAACUAGAUCAGAGCCACUGGCGACAGAGAUAAGCCUCGAAGCAGCCUUGCCCUUCCCGCCACCCUGCCCCGGACGCCUGCAACCUGAGCCUCGUGUGUUCUGAGGAAAACGCCAGUCCUUGCACCUCCAGCCUCUACAGUGUGUGGCUCCUGCAGGCGUGUGUUUGAUGCUGCAACACAGUCUCCAUGUACAGUGUCUUUCUGAAGCCUCUGGAAGGACGGCGCGGCCCAGCAGCAAUGGAUGUCUGUAUUGGAGCCCAACUCCACCUAUGCCUGAUGCCCCCAUUUGGUACAGAUACUCUUGCUGCGCCCCAGCCUCCCUGCCACAGUGCUGGGCUUUUGAAAUCAGUCCGUGGAAGUCUGGAAAGGCUGAUGUCAGGGCUGAGGACAUGGUGGUCAGGUGUCAACCAUAAGUGCAGCUGGAGGAUCUUGCUGUAGUGACAUUCAACACUCACAGGCCGUGCGCUUAGCUCUACCUUCUGUUUCCCAGUGUGCUCUUCUUCACAGCUACUGCCGCCCACGCCUACCUCGCUCUCUUCUGUUGUCUUGGCAACUCACAGGUCUUUGUAGCUAUGGAGAUGCUGCACUGCCAAUGGGUCUCAGUCUGACCCUUGAACACUGUAAUCUGCAGGGUGGGAGGUGACAGGUCAGGGACCCCAGGCUGCGGCUUCAUCUUCAGGUCUUUGAUUUCACUUUCAAGCAGCUUCCAUGUUGGCUGUGGGUUGGAAUGGGGCCCUCGUUCGUGGUGGGCUCUUAGGAGGAGUUCCCAUCCAUAAGUGGAGCACGCAUACCUGGGCAUGCUGCUCCAUCUACAUCUCCAGCUUCUCUCCAGACAUCUGCAUUUGUGCUGGUCCAUUGGUCUUCAAGAUGAUUGAGUAAUUGUGGGUAGAUGAUCCUGGUGCCAAGUCUCUGUCACUCUGGGAGUUGAGACUGUUGGGCUGCCUCCCAAGUUGAGAAUGACGUUCUUGGGCUCUUUUCUGGAGGUAGGAUGGGUGGUGUGGGAGAGAGCUCAUAGCUCAGGCCCAUCAGUGUGAGCCGCCGUGACCCUCCUCACACACCCUGCUGCCCUGGCCCUUCUGGGUCACCUUGCUCUCCAGCCAAGCUACUCUGGGGGCAGGGCUGUAGAGGACACCUGAUGCACAUUUGUGUGACCUUGUCCCUGUCACAGUGUUUGUCCUGUCAUUCUAGUUCCAGGGUCACAUCCACUAGGACCAUGGAUUCCAAAAGUUGUGCUGGCCUGACCUGGCCUGGCCUGGCCUGGCUCCGGUGUGCUCCUGUCCCUGGAUGUGCGUCGUGCAAGUUGAUUGUGUACCUGGUAAAAGCUAGAACACACGUGUGAUGUCACCACUUGGACGUAGCUGUAUUGUAAGGAUCUAAGAAGUCAUGGUGUUCGAUGUUGAGUGCUUGGAAUAAAUGAAGAGCAGUCCUGCUGCCCGGCUACCCUGCUGCAGUCACUGAGGCCUCCGUGGGGGUGCAGGCAUGAGGACUUUGAGGCCAGCCUGGGUUAUAUCAUACUCUGUAUUGAAGAAGAGAAAAUAAGUUGGAUAGGGUAGCUCAGGCCUGUAAUCUUAGCACUG
ensembl:lncRNA